rnacentral:rRNA from 1 species
UACGAAGGGGGCUAGCGUUGCUCGGAUUGACUGGGCGUAAAGGGCGCGUAGGCGGAUAGUACAGUCAGGCGUGAAAUUCCUGGGCUCAACCUGGGGGCUGCAUUUGAUACGUGUCGUCUUGAGUUCGGAAGAGGGUCGUGGAAUUCCCAGUGUAGAGGUGAAAUUCGUAGAUAUUGGGAAGAACACCGGUGGCGAAGGCGGCGACCUGGUCCGAUACUGACGCUGAGGCGCGAAAGCGUGGGGAGCAAACAGG